ensembl:lncRNA
AUUUCCUACCAAACCCCCCCAAAAUUGACCAAUUCUGCCCCAUUUACUCAGCGCUGUGUUGGAGCUGUAGGAACUUCAACAACCACCAUUGGGGUAAGCAGCACCGAUCCUCAUUAACCGCCGGCCUUAAUUACGCCUCACUGCCUUUCUAAUUAACACCAAUCUCUCUCAUUUUCAUAUAUCCCCCCCCCUUUCCCCCCCGUACCCCAAAUUUGACCAUUUUCCCCCCUUUUCACCCCAAAACAGCUCAGUGCUGUGGGAGCAUUUCCCAAAGCCCCCCUCCUUCCCCCCCCCCCCCAUUCAUCCUAUGCUUUUGGGGUCCCCCCCCCUCAAUUCAGUCCUAUGCUUUUGGGUCCCCCCCUCAAUUCAUCCUAUGCUUUUGGGGUCCCCCCCUCAAUUCAGUCC